rnacentral:misc_RNA from 1 species
ACGAGUUUUAAUUGUUAGGUUAGAGUUGAGCUGGUUAAUCUAAUUAAUAUGUGCUUACUCUAAUCGAAACAAGUCCACUCAUUACUUAACACUUGUGAACUUAUUCAUUACAAACAUUAUUAUUUGUUAUUGGAACGUUUGAUUAUUAUAAAGUUAAUA